CAGUCGCCGCGUGAAUACGGAGGGUGCAAGCGUUAUCCGGAUUUAUUGGGUUUAAAGGGUCCGUAGGCGGAUCUGUAAGUCAGUGGUGAAAGCCCAUCGCUCAACGGUGGAACGGCCAUUGAUACUGCAGGACUUGAAUUAUUGGGAAGUAACUAGAAUAUGUAGUGUAGCGGUGAAAUGCUUAGAGAUUACAUGGAAUACCAAUUGCGAAGGCAGGUUACUACCAAUUGAUUGACGCUGAUGGACGAAAGCGUGGGUAGCGAACAGGAUUAGAUACCCCAGUAGUCCCUGUCUCUUAUAC
rnacentral:rRNA from 1 species